rnacentral:misc_RNA from 1 species
GAAAUAAACCUGAUGGGUUGUUGCUGGCUCUCCAGAGAGCAUGUGCACGCCUUGUCAUCUUUAUAUCUCCACCUGUGCACCUUUUGUAGACCCAGGAUAUCUUUCCAGGUGUCUAUGUUGCCUAUUCAUUUACCCCAAUGUAUGUUAAUAGAAUGUUGUGUCCAUUGAUAAAAUAUAUACAACUUUCAGCAACGGAUCUCUUGGCUCU